UCCGGGCCGCCCACGUGCUCCACGGUGACGUGGUUCACCAGCUCGUGCAUGGUGCCGAAAGUUUUGGAGCAGGGCUUGGCGCUGCUGGCCCCGAGCGGCGGCGGCGGCCCGGCCAGCUCCUCGGGGUCCAGCCACUUGCAGAUGAGCUCCCGCUUGAUUGGCUGCCGCAUGUAGCGCAGGAAGGCCCCGGCCGCCCCCGGGAGGUGGGGGUGGUGCGGGUGCGGCGCGGGCGCCGGCGGCGGCGCCGGGGGCGGCGCGUGGUGCUGCAGGUGGGGCCCGGGCCCCGCGGCCGCCGCGGCCGCCGCGGCUGCAGCCAGGUUCAGGUUUAAGUUCACGGCUCCGUAGCCGUGCAAGGCGGCGGCCGCGGCGGCCGCCACCGCCCCGUAGUGCGCGUCCCCUGAGCGCGGAGCGAAGGGUGGCUCCGCGCGGCCGUACAGCUCGGCCGCAGCCGCCGCAGCGGCCGCCAGCCCUAAGCGCAUCUGGCCGUUGAGCGGGUGGCCGCCAGGAGCCCCGGGAGAGUCGUGCAGCGCGGGAAAGAGCGCGGGGCCGCCACCGUCCCGGCCCGCCGAUUGGCAGAGUGAACACCACAUUUGAGCUGCACAGUGGGACCGAGUUUUUGGAAAUGGCACGGGUGGGAUUGGAGGGAGCCGUGUGAUUGGCAGCUGCCUCGGCUGCGCGAUUGGCUCCGGUUCAGGCUCUGGGCUCAGCGGGAAACCGCCCCCGUGCUCGAGACCGCCUGCGUUUUCACUUCGCGCCCCCUCCUCCGCAGGAGCUCUGCAUGCCGGUUUACCCCCGGAUGCCCAAGUUCCACUUGUAGAAAGUUUGUGCUUGGCCUGCGCACUCGGUCACCUGUGAACGUUCGGUCGACGCGCCUGGUGUAGAGAGAGUCUCCGCCAGAGUGCACCCAAUUGCGAGGGGUCAAGGGACCUCCAGACCACCGUUAAAGCCACGGGGGUGGGGGUGGGGAAGAAACCAAGGAGGGUAGUACCCGAACACUUUCUACCUCCUCUCUUGGAUGAUACCUAGCUGCUCUCUGGACCAAGUGACCAUCCUGCCAUGGUAUCUGUAGCGAUGCCAGAGACUUCUUAUAUGGACCUUGACUUGCUCUGGGCCCACGUGGGGUGUAGACUGGAGGCAGAAUGAGGACGGUUAUUAAACGUUAUUGGUUGCAAAACAAUUUGAUGGAGCUUGGCAAAAUACCAAAGUCAAAAUAAUAUCCAAUAAAUCCCCAAAGGAACAGUCUUGCUUAGACCGUGGGUUGCCAUUCAACAUAGUUCAAAGGAAUGGGCUCACUGCUCAUGGGUUCUAGAUCUGCUACUUCCAAUGAGAUCUCAUGAGGGGCAGAGAAGUGGGAAUGUGGAGAGAGAGCCAAGCUAACUUUUGCCUCUCAUAGAUACAGUGGCAGAGAAGGCUAAAUAGCGUCUCUCCUAAGUGAAGCCGUGAAAUAAGAGACGUCCUUUAAGUGAAUCUCUCCUUCCUGCCCAGAAGGCACUCCUCAUUUGUGCCUCAAUUUCUCUGGAAGGACCACAAGUUGGAGUACACCAAAUAAAAUGUUUUAAAAUCAGUAGGCAUCUUGCCUAUUUGUUUAUUAACAGAAUAAGCUUCCUCCUUCUUAAACUGAAAUGCCAUGCUUGGAAAUAAAAAUAAAAAAAUCCUAGGAUCCCACGCCCUGAGUUUUAGUGAAUGCUAUCCCUUUGCAUCCAUUUGCCACCAAACCCGUUUUAAAAAUAGAAGUCGGUCUCUACAUCAUGGCGGAGCCGUGGGAGAAAUGUGAGACCCCCUUUUAAAUAGGAGUUUCAGUCGCCCAAAGUGUCGUUUGUUCUUUAUUUUAAUAAAAUACUCUUAAUUUUGUGAUGUUCUAAAAUGCUCAAACUCGAGCAAAAAUAUUUUGAUCCCCUCAAUAAAAUCAUCUAUAAAGUA